CUCUCUCUCUCUCUCUCUCUCUCUCUCUCUCUCUCUCUCUCUCUAUAUAUAUAUAUAUAUAUAUCUGGUGCUUUUGGUUAUUCCAUCUAUUAUCUAUUAAAUAUAUUGCGGUUUGGUUAUUCGAUCUAUACUUGUUGCAGCAAUCUAAUUAUGGUUUUUGUUUUUAUUUGAUGCAUUUUUAAAAGCCCCUAAUAUAUACAAGAUUUUUUUAAGGUUUCUUACUGUGAGAAAAUUAAUUCAUUGAGUUAUGUCAAGUUUUUUAAUCUUGAGGCACGUAAUAGUUUUGGUUUUGAUGUCUUGUUUGGCAGUCGAGAAAGUGGAAGAGAAUAUAAAGGUAAAGAAAUUUGAACUUUUUUUAUUUGUAAUAGUAGAGUCUUUCUUCUGGUAUGUUAUGAAAUCAUUUAAAGUGAAAUUUAGCAUGCAUUAAAGUGCAGAAACUGACCAAUGCAUGUUUCUCCAAACCUUAUAAUAGUGAGGGAUAAAUACACACAUAAAAUAAUUAAUCGAAUUUAACUCUGUUGUAGGUAUUGGUUAGGUUACCUACUUCAUCAUCUCAAUGUAUGCAUUGUGUUGAACACAAAACAGAUAUAGUUAAUUUAUCUAUUCAGCCAUCACAAACAAUUUAAUUUAUAUUUUAUAAUCUACUUUUAUCGAUCACUCCUAUAUAAAAAGAAAUUAAACAAUUUUUUGAGGUCUUGGAAAAAUAUUUACUUAUAUCGUAUUGGUAUAUCAUCUUAACACUUGAGAGGGUUGUUUUUAAAAAGUAAAUUGGGAAUAACAUGUAUUGACUCUCUAGAAUGUUAUAACAUAAAACGAAACAAUUCCAUUCAUUAUGUUUUUUUACCCCUUUUACGACAUGAACAGUCUCUUUUUUAUAACAUGGUCACACAAUAACUUGUUAAAGAUAACCGAGGUAAUCUGGAUUCUGUCCUCUGAGUAGCUUAGUACUACCUGAAACUGUUGAACAACUCUUUUCCUGCUUAGAUGCUGUGUAGAGAAUCAUAUUGGCCAACCCAUGUAGUAUUAAUUGUUCUUGUUACUUUCUUGCCUCUAUCUCUCCCUUUCUAAUAAGAAAGUACUUUCCAUAAAUAUUAUCUGGGGAAGCUUUUAGCUAUAGGAUGCCUGUAAAGCAAUCUAACGUGCAAUUACAAUCUGCUCUACUUUCUUGUGAUUAUACAUACAUACAUAUACAUAUAUACAUAUAUAUAUGUAUGUAUAUGUAUAUUCCUGUACAGCCUGGUGUGGUACUGCACGUGCUUGCCUUAGGUAUAUGAUGCUAUAUUGUUUGGAAUUAUACCUUCACCAUUAUUUGGCAAGUCAUAUUCACUAGCUAGGUAUUGAUUCUUCUGAAAUUAGCAUAUGUCACAUUGCAGGGAAGGGUGCAGAAAAAGAAGCUGGUGAAAAGAAGAAGACAACAAACUUAAAAAAUAUCUAACUACUAGGUAGCCCCUUUUAUCUGCAACAAUAAAAACCAACUUUGCCACCUGACUGCAUUGACAUGGAUCUGCAUAUAUGCAUGCAUUCAUGGCACAGCUAGCUGGUGUGCCCCAAAUUUUUUUUUAAUUAUUUUGUUUUGCUUUUAUAAUUUGUUUUACACUACAGAAAGAGGCUAUAGAUGGAUGAACAAGAAUGAAUAGUAAUUCGUGUUUGACACUUUUGCCUUUCUUUCUUUUUUUCAUUUUAUUUUGCUUUCUUUUUUUUCUUGUUGGGUUGUUCAUUUCGAUAUGUCAGUGAGGUCCAGUUUUGGUAUUACAUUUGUCUGGUGGGUUAGAAUUUUAGAAUUGUUUACUCAUAAUAAUGUCUUUCAUGUAGGCAGUUUUUAACCUUUAUUUGACUUCUUAGAUCGUCUAACUUUGUUUUUAAAAGUAAAUAAUUUACCUUUCCCUAUUUGGUUGCAAAGAAAAUGAAAGUACGACAGUUUUUAAAUCUUGUGAGUUGUGUUCUUUGAUAUGUGUUUUUUCUUUCUUUAUUAUCUUCAGAUUUAUUUUAGCUUUUCAUGUGGUGAUUUGUUUUUUGUUACUUAUGAUUUUGUGCUCCAUCACUUCAAAUGUUUAAAGGAUGUGAACAUCUUAUACCUAGUAAUAUUACCCAACAAACUUAAGAAAAUUAGAGGAUAAGUAAAGAGAAUAUAGAAGGUGAAACCUUUUGUGAUUCACGUUUUAGUUGCUGCAGAUUUUUUUUCCCCUUGUUUUGGACGGAUCUGGAAAGACAAUUUAAGCUGCUGCUUUGGUGGCUUAUAAGGUGGCUGUGGUACCUUUUGAGGUGGUGUAUGAGCAUGUGUAAAUAUCUGUUCUCUUGCUGGGGGUCAGAGGGUUAGAGUUGAAGAGGAACAGAAAAGGGCUACUACCCAAGUUACUGUUUGUUUGUUUAGGGUAUUUAUUUGAGUGUUUAUAUGGGUUUAAAACAUGUAGAGAUGGCCCAUAAUUAGAGGUUGCAUUCAUGCACACACUACAAAUUUUUUUCUUAUGUGUUUGGAUUUGGGUCUAUUAUUUAUGGAUAAGAAUAAAUUUCUAUUUCUGUUUUUGUUCAUGACAUUAAGGCUCUUAAUUAUUGCCCUUAAACAUAUGCAGAAAGUCCAUGUAUGAUCUUCCUCUUGUAAUAGAAGUAGUGGGGCAGGACCAACUUGGUUGAUUAAUUAAUAUUAUCACCAUUGUGUCAACCUAAAUCUUCAUGUUGUCUGAAGAAAAGGUUCACUUGUUAAUCAUACUUUGAGAAACAUGCCAGUGUGCAUUUGUGGGUCACCCGCUUUCUUGGAACAUCGAAUAUGCCGAGAAACCAAGGCCGGUCAUUCUUUGGGUGUUCAAAAUACAAUACAAAGGGGUUACCACACUACAACUAUUUCAAAUGGGCAGAUAGUGGUCAAGAAAGACAAAAAGAACUUUUGAAAAUAGAAAUUGAGAUGUUAAGGAAGGAGGAAGAACUUCAAAAACCACAGGCAAAGAUUCAACAAAAAGAGGAAGAAGUUCGAAGAAGAGAGGAAGAGGUUCGGAAAAGAGAGGAAGAGGUUUGAAGUGCCUUUGAAGAGGUUUGAAAAAUAGAGGGUGAAAUUGUCAAGAGGGAGUUAGGAGUCCCGUGUCAAUGCACACAUCUAAGGCUCUAUUGUUUAAUUUGUAUAUUAUUUUAUUUGUACUUGAUACGAUCACAGUGAAAACCCACUGAUCGACAAACUUAGUGUAUAAAUUUGAACACAAGAGGACUUUGUGCUUUAGACUAGUAGUUAUGGGAAUGCCUACAAUAUUGUAAGAAAUAUAUGUUUUGUAUUUUGGAACAUGUGAGACAACACUUUUGAAAAAGUAGGCAACUGAUCCUAGUUGAAUGUGA